CCUCGCCGCCAAACCGGUUCUUUCCGGAUUUCGCCCGGACCCUCGGCGUGUGGUUCCCUUCAGUCUCUGCACGCCCCACGGAUGAGGGGGCGCGGCUUAGGGGGCCGCACUGGGAGGCCGAGGCCGCACCGGGGGGCGUCCGGGGCUGGGGGUCGGCUCGGAAUCAGAGUCUACUAAUCAAAAAAAGCUGGCAGUUAGGACCUGGCGGAGAGAAGACUUGAAAUCAAAUGGAGGAGGGUUCCAGGUCUUGUUUGCAGAAGCGAUGGGGAAACGCUUAGGCGAACCCAGACUUUGCCCUGCUCAGUGGACUCACGGGCCCGUUUCUUUUGCCUGCCGUCGUCGCCGAGGGUCGUGCGGCCAGGGGACAGGGCGUGGCUAACCUGGGAGCAGCCUCCACGCUGAGUUCUGAGAAAUCCCAGAUCUCUUGGGGAGGGCUCUGCUGGCUGGGGUACCCAGGCAACCCAAUUCAAUCCAAGCUGACUGCCCACCAGGUUUCCUCUCCCAGCUUUUUCUGGAUGACUCUGCCAUCUUUUCUCCCCCUUCCAUGGAUGAAAAUGCCCCCUGAGCUCGAGGAGGACUAAAUUGGUUUGAAUUUUUUUAAUUUUUGGGGGGUGAUCAUUAUUUACUGAGCAAAACCAAACUGCUAGACCAGAAAGGCUGCCGCAAGGCCCCCUUGCUGGUGUCUGGGUCAGGAAAUGGCUCACUGCUUCUUCGCCCUUUAGACCAGAGGGCGGGCAGAGAGGGUGGGUCCGCUGGAAGCUCCCCACCCUGACGAGGGCUUGUUAGAGGCCAGAAGGGGCCAGGCCUCUGCGAGCAGCUGCAGCAGCAGGAGCAGCUGGAGCUCGAGGGCUCUGAGACCUGGACCCCACGCCAGCCCACCGCCAACCAGUCUCCACCUGAGGUCCCUUCCCCUCCCUCGCCUCCCUCCCUCGCCUCCCCUGCUGCGGCCCGCCCUUCCGGAAUGAACCUUGUCUUGGCUGUGCGCCACAGGAAGGCAGAGGCAAGCCUACAAUUACUUGCUGCCGCUGCCGGAUCCGGCUGCAGCUCUCAGACUGAGCCUGGGUGGGGGCGGGGCUCUGGGGACCCUGUCCCCAGUGGGCUCUGCGCUGGGAGUGGCUACUGAAAUCUGCAGCAUACGUUCCAGGGAUUCCCCGGCUACCCUCUGAGUCCCCGAAGAUACUUCCUUACAAACAGAUCCUGGCAUUUUUGAAGUGGUGUCUUGGUGUUUGGGACAAGGCAUUCCCUUCCAAGGGGGGUGGGCACAAAGCAGUUUGGAGGGAGAAACAGGCCAGGAGAAGGGCAUGCCCUAGGACCACCAGAGCCUUCCUUUCCGCCACGGGGUUAUCCCCUCUCCUGGCUUGGCUUUGUACCUCUGGCUGAGGCGCCCAGGAGGCAGGGUGCAGGAGUGUCCUUGGGGACUGUGCCCCAGAGGGCUCUUUGGAGUCUUCCCAGGCAGCUAGGUAUGCUCCUAUUUCCCCUUGCUCCUCUUUAUUUCUCUCCAGGCUUGCCCCUCCUGCUCAUGACUCUGCACCUCAGUGGGAGGGGUAGGGGCAUGCAUCCGUGUGACAGAACCUGCAGCGGUUCCCCUGUGAUCAAAGCCAGGCCUGUACCUAAAGGCUGGGGAGCGCCAAGGCAGGACCCACCUCCAGGGCCACAUGUCCAUUCUUGGACCUAGGUUUCUGGUCAGACCAGGUGAGCAGAAGGACUUGACCUCCCGAAUGCCCUGAGCUCCUGGGAAAUUCUCUGCCCACUAAAGAGCCAAGUUUCCCACUGAUGCCCUGAAUUACUCUAGCGUACCUUACCUUUUCCCUCCUUUGGGUGACUUCCCCUCCUUGCAGCUGGUCUGUACAUUUCAGAAAGCUACUCUUGGUUGGCUAAGCCUCACCCAUACAUGGGACUAUACACUUCCUGCCCAGAGCUCCCCAUCCCCCAGGCCAACAGGAAUCCUCCCCCAAUCCGCCUCCAACUCCUACUGCACCUGAGCCCAUCCUGUCCCACUGCCAUGGUAUCCGUUGUACCCAGAAGCCAGAUGGUCUUUUGUUCCCUAACACCCCUUCUGGGCUCAGGCGCUUCCAAGCUCAGCAAGAGUUCACUCAGCACUCCAGUGACCGCAGCACGCACUGAGGCUACGUGCCAAGUAGCUCAUCUGCUUUCCCUGGUGACCCCCACGACAGGCAGUGAGAGCACGUUUUGGAGGCACUUCGCUUUUGGAGUCUGCACGAUCAAGCUUUAUUAUGGUAUUAUCAUAUCACCUCAGGGAAGCUGAGGCACAGGGAAGUUAGCUGGCUUCCUAUGUAUAUAUAGUAUUUGCAGCUAAAAAGUGACAGGGCCUGAAUUUGAGCCCAGGGGUUGGAUCGUUCUCUGGUGGGGGCUGCCCUGUGCACUGAGGGGUAUUGAGCUAUGGUUCUGGCUUCCACCCACUAGGUACCAGGAGCACCCCUUCCUACAGUGUGGCAAAGAAAAAUAUCCCCAGGUGUGGCUGAAUGUUAGGGUGGCUACCUGCCUUUGGUAGUUCCACCUCUCCGCAAGUGCUGACUGUGUAUGUGUGUGUGUGUGUCAGGGUGGCUUCCUGCCUUUGGUUCCACUUCUCUACAAGUGCUGACCGUGUGUGUGUGUCAGGGUGGCUUCCUGCCUUUGGUUCCGUGUGUGUGUGUGUGUGUGUGUGAGUCAGGGUGGCUACCUGCCUUUGGUGGUUUCACUGGCUUCCUGCCUUUGGUUCCGUGUGUGUGUGUGUGUGUGUGUGUGUGUGUCAGGGUGGCUACCUGCCUUUCGUGGUUUCACCUCUCCAUAAGUGCUCACCGUCUGUGUGUGUGUGUGUCUUUUCCCAAAUAAAGGUAUACCGUAAACCUGG